UACGAAGGGGGGCUAGCGUUGUUCGGAAUUACUGGGCGUAAAGGGCGCGUAGGCGGUGUGUCAAGUCAGGCGUGAAAGCCCCGGGCUCAACCUGGGAACCGCGCUUGAGACUGGCACGCUAGAGUUCGGGAGAGGAUGGUGGAAUUCCCAGUGUAGAGGUGAAAUUCGUAGAUAUUGGGAAGAACACCGAUGGCGAAGGCAGCCAUCUGGACCGACACUGACGCUGAGGCGCGAAAGCGUGGGGGAGCAAACAGG
rnacentral:rRNA from 1 species